GGAUAAUCUGCCCUCAGGUGAGGAGUAAACCCGGGAAACUGGGGCUAAUACCUCAUAGAUACAGACAGCUGGAAUGCUUCUGUAUUCAAAGCUCCGGCGCCUGAGGAUGAGUCUGCGGCCUAUCAGGUUGUAGUCAGGGUCAUGACCUGACUAGCCAACGACGGGUACGGGGUGUGAGAGCACUUGCCCGGAGAUGGUUUCUGAGACACGAAACCAGGCCCUACGGGGCGCAGCAGGCGCGAAAACUUCGCAAUGCGGGAAACCGUGACGAGGGAACUCCAAGUGUCUAUGCAUUGCAUAGACUGUUUUUUAGCCUAAAUAGCUAAAAGAGUAAGAGGUGGGCAAGACCGGUGCCAGCCGCCGCGGUAACACCGGCACCUCGAGUGGUAGCCACUAUUAUUGGGCCUAAAGCGUUCGUAGCCGGUUUGGUAAAUUCUUGGGUAAAUCGUACAGCUUAACUGUGCGGAUUCCGGGGACACUACCAGACUUGAGACCGGGAGAGAUCAGAAGUACUUGUAGGGGAGCGGUGAAAUGUUGUAAUCCUACAGGGACUACCAGUGGCGAAGGCGUCUGAUCAUAACGGCUUUGACGGUGAGGAACGAAACCCUGGGGCGCANACGGGAUUAGAUACCCCGGUAGUCCAGGGCGUAAACGCUGCUGACUUGGUGUUGGAGAUCCUACGAGGGUGUCCAGUGCUGGCGCGAAGGCAUUUAGUCAGCCGCCUGGGGAGUACGGUCGCAAGACUGAAACUUAA
rnacentral:rRNA from 1 species